rnacentral:rRNA from 1 species
UUUUCUGCCACCGAAUACAUUAGCAUGGGAUAAUGGAAUAGGACCCUGUCCUCCUAUUUUCAGUUGGUUUUGGCAGCGCGAGGACUAGGGUAAUGAUUAAUAGGGAUAGUUGGGGGCAUUAAUAUUUAAUUGUCAGAGGUGAAAUUCUUGGAUUUAUGAAAGAUUAACUUCUGCGAAAGCAUCUGCCAAGGAUGUUUUCAUUAAUCAAGAACGAAAGUUAGGGGAUCGAAGACGAUCAGAUACCGUCGUAGUCUUAACCAUAAACGAUGCCGACCAGCGAUUAGGAGACGUUGAAUACAAAACACCACCAUCGGUGCGGUCAUCCUUGGCGUUGGUCUUCAAAAGCCAGCGCGGGGGUGGC